CGUCAACGGUUAACGCGGGACAGAACCCAGUGUGACCAGCGGGUCUCCGGCAAUCAUCAGUAGAACUAGCUAUUAUAGCCCAUUUAAUAGCUUGAAAAUGAACUCAUUAGUGGUCUUUUAUCAGUGGAAAAAAGUCUAUUAAAUCCGGAUGUGGGAAGCAGCCGCGCAGAAGCUCAUUUCCAUCCCGCCUGUGACCUGAAAAAAUCCGAGAGACGCGCUUCUCUGGGAGUGAGCGUCGGGCUGUGUGGGAGGAGAGCUCAGACCCCCAGGCCGCCCCAGCCCGCGUCCUUCCCGGGGCCGUCGGGGCUCCGCCCGGAACAGACAGGCUUUGUCCUUCCUUCUCGCCUCCCGCGUCAUCCAAGCGCAGCCCAACACCUGACGGGGGCGGCGAGAAGAAGGUGCCAGUACUCAAGCGCGACCCCGGGUUAUGCAGAGCAGGCACCAUCUGGCUGGGCAGUAGAGCUGAAAAUGGCCAUCACUCACCUAUCCGGAGCUCUUCCCACCUGAGUCUCGCCCAGCCCUGCAGGGACAGCCACCGAGGCGUCAGAGGCCCAGGAUCCUGCUGUUCCUGACCACAGCUGUCAAGACCCAGCUUCUGUCACGAGUUACCAGUUGGGCUACAGAGUAACAAAACUGUGCAUGCAAGCACUCAUGUCUUGUA